GGUGGUUCUCAGGCCCUGGAAUCAGGCUCCCUCCUCUCUGGUUCUGGGGUGAGUUACCCAAGAACCACU
rfam:Myotis davidii contig91022, whole genome shotgun sequence.